rnacentral:lncRNA from 10 species
CUGCCUAGACUCAUUUUAAGUGCAGCCUAAAUCUCCCUCAUUUCCAAGUUAUCAGGCAAAGUCUAUUUUAAACUCACGACCCUUGAAUCAGCAGGAAACUGAAACACGCCUCAGGCCACUGGGGCUGACUCACGCCCUGUGCUGAGCGGCAAGGCACAGCCGCGGGAAGGUAAACGCAGAGCCGAGGGGCCGGCCAGCACCUGGCCCUGACCGCCCCCAGGCCACGCAUUCCUUGUUACUUCACCUCCUGGCGGAUGGCAACCGUCCCAGCUUCGUGGACUGUCAGGGUCACCGAGAGUCCAGGGUGGUGGGAGUCCCCCACACGAGCCACUGGCACACUCCCUGAAGCAGAAGCCACGGCGCCAAAGCUGUGGGCUCAGGGAACUUGCCCAUUACCUGGCAGCCCCGCAUCUGUGCCAAAAUAAGACACAACUCAGCCCAGCGGAGUGGACAGUGUCUGCGGCCAGCUCUGGGAUCCAGGGCCAGCUGAUGCUGGGAACAGCCGUCCUUGCCCUGUGCCUCUCCACACUGCGAGAGCCCCUGCAGCCCAGAGGGGCUCCACCUCCCCUGCAAUGGGGCUCAAAAGACAAUCCUUCUACGGGGCUGGCAGGACAGACGUGACAGGAACAACGAUGGCCUGCUCCUCCCGGAAGGUGGCUUCAAGAGCACUCAGGAGGUGACAGAUGCUGUCAAGACCGGCCCAGGGAAGGCACAGGGCAGGUUUCCCAGCACCCACCACGCGCCAGCGAGCACAGAGCCUUCGCCUGAACCAUCCAGGCACCGCGCCCUCCCCCUCCGCACACACAGGAGCCCAGCUGCGAUUCCCUCUGCUCCACAGGAGAUGCAGCGAGCACCAAAGAGCCUUCCUCCAGGAUUAAGCCUGAUGCAGAAGUGGUUACACUGACUACGGCAAGCUGAGCCCUGCCGGCUGUUGUGCGCUCCGUGGAAAGGGAGAAGCACGGUCUCCAGCGGCUGCGUCAGGAGUGGUGCCUUGUGCACACCUCACAGGGAGAGAAGUCUCCAACGGACUGAGCGGAGGAAAAAAGAAAAAAGGAGAAAAGGAAAAAGAGCUGCAUACCUGGCAGGCCUACUGUGUGCAAAGCCCUUGAGUGACACACCCUAUGACCCACAGCACUGUGGCAAUCCCAGGGCCGCACCAGCUCUCUCUCCUUCCCCUCCUCAGGGCCACACCAACUGUGGGGUUCCAGCUAUCACUCUGUGCAAAGGACUCCUAACAUGGGUGUCCUCCGUCUCACCCCAUAAGCCACACUGGCCAAGGCCAGGCAGGCACCACACAUCGCGAGACACAUGCUUGGUCACUGGGCUGUGGAACAUACAGGAGCCCCGUGCUCCGGAACACGGACCACCCGACAGGAGCACGGACACAGCAGUCGGGGCGACGUGGGUGCCUCACAGAAGAGGGAAAAAGCCAGGAGGGCGGCACGUGGGCGCAAAGUUCUCAGCUUCGUUAGUCAUCAAGAAAAUGCAAACUAAAACCAAGGUAAGUGUGAGGGUUACUACUGAGUUUCAACUUGACUGGACUAAAGGAUGUGUAACUGUUCCUGGGAGCAUCUUGAGGAAGCUGCCAAAGGAGAUUCACAUUGAGUCAGUGGACGGGGAGAGGCCGACGAACCCUCCAUCUGGGGGGGCAUGAUCUCAUCAGCUGCCAGCACGGCAGAUCUGCGGAAGCACUGGACUGGCUGAGUCUUCCAGCCUCCAUCUUUCUUCCAUGCUGGAUACUUCCUGCCCUCGAACAUCAGACUCCAAGUGCUUCAGCUUUUGGGUUCUUGGACCUACACCAGUGGUUUGCCAGGGGUUCUUGGGCCUUCGGCCACAGACUGAAAGCUGCGCUGUUGGCUUCCCGACUUUUGAGGUUUGGGGACUCGGACUGGCUUCCUGGCUCCUCAGCUUGCCAACAGCCUAUUGUGGGACUUCACCUCAUGACUGUGUGAGUCAAUACUCCCAAUAAACUCCCCUCCAUAUAUACAUUUAUCCUAUUAGUGCUGUCCCUCUAGAGAACCCUGACUCGUACACACAAGUACUGGUGAAGGGGUGGAGCAAAGGAAACUAGUCCACUCUCAUCAGGGCCAACUCACGCACCUGGCAAUCUCUACUCAUACUGAACACAAGUAUGCCCUAUAGCCCAGCAAUGCCAUUCUGGACAUACACGUCCAAAAGAAAAGCAGGUGCACAGACACAAGAGACACGCGUGAAGUGCUUCAUAGCAGUGGGGUUUGCGGCGUGCCACUAGGAUGUGAGGGUGGAACACUACACAGCAGAGGAGGCAAACACAUCACAACGUAAGUCAAUCUCACAAAUAAUGUUGAGGAACCCUGUCUCUACGAAAAGUUUAAAAAUUAGCCGGGCACUGUGGUGCAUGCUGGCGGUCUCAGCUACCAGGGAGGCUAAGGCAGGAGGAUCACUUGAGCCCAGGAGGUCGAGGCUGCGGUAAGCCAAGAUCAUGCCACUGUACUCCAGCCCGGGCGUCAGAGCCAGACCCUCUCCCCUCUCCCCUCUCCUCUCUCUCUCUCUCUCUCUCACACACACACACACACACACACACAGAGUAAUAAUGUUGGGGACAAAAUACAUGAUACAUUUACAUAAAUUUCUGAAAAUAGCAACUACAGUACUUAGGGAUGCAUACUUAGUUGACAAGACAUCCGCGAAGCGUGGAAAAUGGCUGCCUGGCGGAUGGAAUUGGAAGGGACGGUGAAACGGGUUCUAAGUGAAGGCUGCGGAGGCGUUUGCUUUGUGGUCUGCUAAGUUGUACAUUUUUACUGGGUGGACGUUUGGGUUCUCAGCUGAAGCAGUCUUUCAGAAGGUGACAGAGAUAAAGGCCACACUAUGUCCUUGCAAGGCCUCAGAGGUGUCACUGACCUUUUGCUGCAGGACCUGUUCUUCUCAGGGGUCUUGGCCUCCUAGAGGAAGGAGGGCCCCAUCGCCCUGCUAGGCCCUACUGGGACCCUCAAGGGCAUGAGCAUGACGACGGAGCAGCUUCAGGCUUCCCAGCAUGUCGGGCAGGCCUAGCCAUGCCCAAUACACACUGCAGGGCACCCACUGCAGAGUGCAACAGGGAGCUUGGAGCCUGACAAGGAGACACACAGCUCUGUGAAGACGAAGGGGAGGAGGAGCAAGGAAAAUGCUUCUUUUACACAGAAGGCGCCAAGAUACAAACUAAAUGUGAUGAAGACAAAGAAAAGCAGGCGUGUGUGUUAAAGGUACAAUUGCACAGCUAAAAAUAAUCAUGGCCGUAAGGCAGGGACGGCAGAUGGAGGGUGACUCAGCAGAUUUCCUCCAAGGCUUGCGAGGGUGGAAAUAAACACACGGAAGUGACCAGCAGAGAGAAACACGCAGGGAAGAGGAAGGUUAGAAAGGUCUGGGGUGUCACGCACCGUUGCUGGGAAUGCAGAGGAGGACGGUCUGCAGAAGGGGACGCAGCCACCGCCCCCCCCACCCCGCUGCAGAAGGUGCACACCACUCAGCAACCACCCACCCACUGCUCAAUCUACCCCCAAAUUACACAAAUAGGGCCAGGCACGGUGGCUCACCCCUGUGGUCCCAGCUACUCAGGAGGCCAAGGCAGGGGGGUCAUUUGGGCCCAAGAGUUUGAGACCCGGGCAAUGUAGGGAAACCUCAUCUUUACAAAAAUAUCAAAAAAUUAAUCAGUCGAGGUGGCACGCACCUGUAAUCCCAGCUCCUUGGGAGCCUGAGGCAGGAAGACCCCUUGGGCCCAGGAGGUCGAGGCUGCAGUGAGCUAAGAUUGCACCACUGCACUCCAACCUUGGUGACAGAGCAAGACCCUGUGUGAAAAAAACCCAAACCCCAAACCAAAAAAACACAACCGGGGCAUGAAAAAGUGCUUGGCCCAGAGCAGUGCCCCAAAGCAUCUCCUAAGAAAGGGGCUUAACACAAAGCCUGCCCGCCAGGGGCUGCUGGUGGCAUCCGGGCACAUCUGCACGUGGGGCUGACAGGACUAAGGAGGUUCCACAGACACACGACCAGGCGGAGACGCAGAGAAAAGCAGGUACAGCAAGAAGUCCACUGGGCAAUGCAGAGGUGGGGAAUGCAGAGGGGGAAUGCAGAGGUGGGGAAUGCAGAGGUGGGGAAUGCAGAGGUGGGAAAUGCAGAGGUGGGGAAUGCAGAGGUUGGAAAUGCAGAGGUGGGGAAUGCAGAGGUUGGAAAUGCAGAGGGCACCUACACUUCUGAUGACAGCGAAAUAUGUAAGGCUGGCUCAACCAUCAAUCAGUCAACGUCACCCAGCAUGCCAACAAGCUAAAGAAGAAACACCACAUAAUCACAACUGGUACAGAAAAUCAUUUGAUAAAAUUCAAAACUCACGAUAAAAAUUCCUAGGAAAACAGGAGUGUGGAGAAACAUCCUCAACACGAUAAAGGCCAACUACCAAGAACUCAAGGCUGACAUGAUCAAGAGUGACGUGCUGAGGGCUGCAGAUGGAAUGGCAUACAGGGCAGAAAGGAAGAAAUGGAAUAAAACUGUCUCUCUCUGAAGAUGGUGUAAGUGUCCAUGUCGAAAAUCACAAGGAAUCUAUCAAAAAUUCCAAGAAACUUUAUUUAAUAGAGUUCAGCAAGGACACAGAAUCCAAGAUCAACACACAAACACCUAUCCUAUUUCUGCAAUAAUCCUAUGAAAACAAGAAAUAAAGACAGUACCAUCCUAUUUCUGCAUGCUACCAAUAAUCCUAUGAAAACAAGAAAUACACAGUACCAUUCUAUUUCUACAUGCUAGCAAUAAUCAAAUAAAAACAUGAAAUAAAGACAGUACCAUUUAUAGGUGCUCCAAAUAAAAAUAAAUGCUUAGGUUCAUAUGGAACAAAACUAGAAAAACCUAUACACAUUUUAGGAAAAAACAGGAGAAAAUCUUUAGGACCUAGGGCCAAGAGUUGUCAGACAUGGCAACAAAAGCACAAUCCAUAAAAGAAAAAACUGAUAAACGACCUCGACAAAAUUAAAAACUUUUGCUCUUUGAAAGACCUAGUUUAAAGAGUGAAAAGACAAACUGCAGACAGGGAAAAAUAUCUGCAAAUCACAAGUCAGAUAGCAGGCUUGUAUGUAGAAGAAAGAAGUAUCAAACAACAAACAUUAAUUAGAAAAUAAGAGAAAACACACAGACAUUCAGAAGAGGUGCACGUGGUGAACAAGCCAUGAAGGCACUCGACAUCCUAAGCCGUUAGGGAAACACAACUUAAAGCCGCAAUGAGAUAUUACUGCACACCAAUCGGAACAGCUAAAAUACAAAAUACUCAAGGAUGCUGGAGAGGAUGUAGAAAAGCUGGAACUCUCUCGCUUGCUGUGGGAACGCAAAGUGGUGUUGCUGCUCUGGAGAACAGCAAGGCAGCCUUACGAACCUAAGUGUGCGCUUGCUGCCCCACUCAACAACUGCACCCCAGGACAUUUAUCUGAGAAAAUGGAACCUCAUGUGAACACAAAGACCUGUUUGCGAAUGUUCACAGAACUUUCACUGAUAAUAGACAAUGGGGAAAACCCUUCAACAGGUGUCCCAGCGGUGUCCUCGAAACUGGGUUUCAUUCACAUCACGGCAUCCCCUCAGCAGUAAAAGGGAUGGCUAUGGAUACACCCAAGCGUAUGGGUGAAUCUGCAGAGGCCCCUGCUGAGUGAGUGGACACACCCAGGCGUACGGGUGAAUCUGCAGAGGCCCCUGCUGAGUGAGUGGACACACCCAGGAGCACGGGCGAAAUCAGCGGAGGCCCCUGCUGAGUGAGUGGACACACCCAGGAGCACGGGCGAAAUCAGUGGAGGCCCCUGCUGAGUGAGUGGACAUACCCAGGAGCACGGGCGAAAUCAGCGGAGGCCCCUGCUGAGUGAGUGGACACACCCAGGCGCACGGGCGAAUCAGCGGAGGCCCCUGCUGAGUGAGUGGACAUACCCAGGAGCACGGGCGAAAUCAGUGGAGGCCCCUGCUGAGUGAGUGGACAUACCCAGGAGCACGGGCGAAAUCAGUGGAGGCCCCUGCUGAGUGAGUGGACAUACCCAGGAGCACGGGCGAAAUCAGUGGAGGCCCCUGCUGAGUGAGUGGACAUACCCAGGCGCACGGGCGAAUCUGCAGAGGCCCCUGGUGAGUGAGUGGACGCACCCAGGAGCACGGGCGAAUCAGCGGAGGCCCCUGCUGAGUGAGUGCACAAAGCCCACCUCUUAGGUCACUCCCUGUGGACUCUACUCCCACGGCUUCCUCCAGGACAAAACCACCAACCUCGGGGAAACAGGCGGGGACUCCGUGAGGAGGGCUCAUGUCUGUCGGUGGCUGUCGAGGAGGCUCUAGGACCAGGUAUCCAGGAUAAGACGGGGGAUCUGAAUCAAGUCUGCAGGGCGGUCACCCUGUCUUCCAAUGUCAUGUUCCCGGCCACUGGGCGAAGGUGGGGAAGGGCACAAGGGAUGCUGCUAUUUUUGCAACUUCCUGUGAGUCUAUAAUGAUUUCACAGAAAAAAGGAAAAAAAAGGGAGAAAAAACACAAGGGGUGUAAGGAGACUCCCAUGGGUGAUGAAUAGUCUAUACUUUUAGGUGAUGGUGUUUCCCCAACGGUAUACGUUUCCCAAAACCCACUGAGCUGUAAAUUUAAAAUGAGUGAAUUUUAUGUCAAUUGUAAUUCAAUAAAGCUGUUAAAAAAUUAACUAGAAACAGAAAAAAAUUUUAAUUCCCAUAGAAAGAAGGAAUAAAGUAAAAAAACAGUAUGAGGUAGGAGGUAAGCUUCCUUUCAUAAACCUUGUUUUGUGUAUUUGGCUUUGGAAUCAUGCAUUUUACAUCAUUUAAAACAUUAAAUAUAAAAUGAGACUGGGUGCAGUGAAUCCCAGCAGUCUGGGAGGCCCAGGCAGGCAGAUCACUUGAGGUCAGGAGUUCGAAACCAGCCUGGCCAACAUGGUGAAACUCUCUACUGAAAAUACAAAAAAUUAGCCGGGCAUGGUGGUGCGUGCCUGUAAUCCCAGCUACUUGGGAGGCUGAGGCACUGGGAGGCAGAGGCUGCCGUGAGCAGAGAUC